rnacentral:sRNA from 1 species
UGAACUGAAUGUGCAUAUACAGGAUCUGC